UCUCCUCUUCGAAAAUUCCAGAGCCGGAGAGAUCGUCCCUUCUCUCCCUCUAUUCCUUCGACAUUCAUCCUUGCCGUCGCUAGUGAGAGUGUGAGCCAGAGAGAAGGUCGAGAAUCUUGGUCUUUUGUUCUUCUCCAUCCAUUUCCUUUCUGCAUCCCUGAAGAGUACGAGUGAGGAGCUAGGCCGUUUAGUCCGUUGCUGAUGUCGGUGUUCGCUAUGAAUCUGCUGCUGUCAAGGCUGAAGUCGCGAGUUCGUCCACUCCCCUGCUCCUCCAAUGGUCUUCUUUCAUGCAAUGGUGAUGCCUGAACUCCCUCCCCUGUUUUCUUAUUGCUGAAUCCUUCCUUCCUUCCUCUGUUCGAGAUGCUAUGAUUUAGAGCAUCAGAUACGUUAGCUGAUGUUGUGCCUUCUGCUAAUUCUUAAGGGGCGGUAAUAUUCAGAUGAGAUGAAAAGUUGAAACUAAACUUCUUUAAAGUAAAUUUCUUAUGUCAGGUGUUCCACAUAAGCUAUAGUUAGGGUCCUCAUCCUUAUGGUUCAUACUUUGAUAUUUGCUGAUCGGAAGAGAAUUCCUUGCUGCUACUAUUGUUUUGUAAAAUAUUAAAUCUUUUGUUCGUAUGGUUUGUAUUGAGGAUGGCUUAAUUUAUUAUCAAAGGUCUUCAUGGCUUAUAAAUUA